GACGAACGCUGGCGGCGUGCUUAACACAUGCAAGUCGAGCGGAAAGGCCCUUCGGGGUACUCGAGCGGCGAACGGGUGAGUAACACGUGAGUAACCUGCCCCAGACUUUGGGAUAACCCUCGGAAACGGGGGCUAAUACCGGAUACGACACAGCUUCGCAUGGGGUCUGUGUGGAAAGUUUUUCGGUUUGGGAUGGGCUCGCGGCCUAUCAGCUUGUUGGUGGGGUGAUGGCCUACCAAGGCGACGACGGGUAGCCGGCCUGAGAGGGCGACCGGCCACACUGGGACUGAGACACGGCCCAGACUCCUACGGGAGGCAGCAGUGGGGAAUAUUGCACAAUGGGCGGAAGCCUGAUGCAGCGACGCCGCGUGAGGGAUGACGGCCCUCGGGUUGUAAACCUCUUUCAGCAGGGACGAAGCGUAAGUGACGGUACCUGCAGAAGAAGCGCCGGCCAACUACGUG
rnacentral:rRNA from 1 species